UUCAGUAGUUUACUACAGAAAAUGACUGAGCGGCGAACGGGUGAGUAACGCGUGAGCAACCUACCUUAGUUACUGGGAUAGCCCGAGGAAACUCGGAUUAAUACCGGAUAUUCUUAUUUAAUCACAUGAUUUUUUAAGGAAAGGUCAGCCGAACUAAGAUGGGCUCGCGUUCUAUCAGCUAGUUGGUAGGGUAAUGGCCUACCAAGGCUACGACGGAUAGCUGGUCUGAGAGGACGAUCAGCCACACUGGGACUGAGACACGGCCCAGACUCCUACGGGAGGCUGCAGCAGGGAAUAUUGCGCAAUGAGCGAAAGCUUGACGCAGCGACACCGCGUGUGGGAUGACGGAUCUAGGUUUGUAAACCACUUUCAGGAGGGAAGAAAAUGACGGUACCUCCACAAGAAGCCCCGGCCAACUACGUGCCAGCAGCCGCGGUAAUACGUAGGGGGCGAGCGUUGUCCGGAUUUAUUGGGCGUAAAGAGCUCGUAGGCGGUUCAACAAGUCGGUCGUGAAAGUUCAGGGCUCAACCCUGAAAUGUCGAUCGAUACUGUUGUGACUAGGAUACGGUAGAGGUGAGUGGAAUUCCGAGUGUAGCGGUGAAAUGCGUAGAUAUUCGGAGGAACACCAAUUGCGAAGGCAGCUCACUGGGCCGCUAUCGACGCUGAGGAGCGAAAGCUAGGGGAGCAAACAGGAUUAGAUACCCUGGUAGUCCUAGCUGUAAACGAUGGANACUAGACGUANGAAUUGNAUUAACGAUUUCUGUGUCGUANCUAACGCGUU
rnacentral:rRNA from 1 species